AGUGAACGCUGGCGGUAGGCCUAACACAUGCAAGUCGAACGGCAGCACAGUAAGAGCUUGCUCUUACGGGUGGCGAGUGGCGGACGGGUGAGGAAUACAUCGGAAUCUACUUUUUCGUGGGUGAUAACGUAGGGAAACUUACGCUAAUACCGCAUACGACCUACGGGUGAAAGCAGGGGAUCUUCGGACCUUGCGCGUUUGAAUGAGCCGAUGUCGGAUUAGCUAGUUGGCGGGGUAAAGGCCCACCAAGGCGACGAUCCGUAGCUGGUCUGAGAGGAUGAUCAGCCACACUGGAACUGAGACACGGUCCAGACUCCUACGGGAGGCAGCAGUGGGGAAUAUUGGACAAUGGGCGCAAGCCUGAUCCAGCCAUACCGCGUGGGUGAAGAAGGCCUUCGGGUUGUAAAGCCCUUUUGUUGGGAAAGAAAAGCAGCAGGUUAAUACCCCGCUGUUCUGACGGUACCCAAAGAAUAAGCACCGGCUAACUUCGUG
rnacentral:rRNA from 1 species